rnacentral:rRNA from 1 species
AUUGAACGCUGGCGGCAGGCCUAACACAUGCAAGUCGAGCGGAUGAAGGGAGCUUGCUCCUGGAUUCAGCGGCGGACGGGUGAGUAAUGCCUAGGAAUCUGCCUGGUAGUGGGGGAUAACGUCCGGAAACGGGCGCUAAUACCGCAUACGUCCUGAGGGAGAAAGUGGGGGAUCUUCGGACCUCACGCUAUCAGAUGAGCCUAGGUCGGAUUAGCUAGUUGGUGGGGUAAAGGCCUACCAAGGCGACGAUCCGUAACUGGUCUGAGAGGAUGAUCAGUCAAAUAGACAAUGAAAACUGGUCGAGACUCCGACAGGCGGCAGUAGUGGGGAAUGUGUGACAAUGGGAGAGAGCGUAGUCCGGCGUUGCUGGGUGGUGUAAGAGGUUUUUCGGAUUGUAGAGCUAUUGAAGUUGGGAUGAGGGGUAAUAACUUAUUUCAUUUCUGUUUCCACGUUACCAACAGAAUAAGCACCUGCUAACUUCGUGCCAGCGGCCGCGGUAAUAUUCGGAAGAGCCCGCGUCUGAAC